ACCCAGUUGGCGAGUCCCGAAUAGGACGAAACGCGCGUCUUAGAU
rnacentral:hammerhead_ribozyme from 1 species